rnacentral:rRNA from 1 species
AUUGAACGCUGGCGGCAUGCCUUACACAUGCAAGUCGAACGGUAACGCGGGGCAACCUGGCGACGAGUGGCGAACGGGUGAGUAAUGCAUCGGAACGUGCCCAGUAGUGGGGGAUAGCCCGGCGAAAGCCGGAUUAAUACCGCAUACGACCUACGGGUGAAAGGGGGGGAUCGCAAGACCUCUCGCUAUUGGAGCGGCCGAUGUCAGAUUAGGUAGUUGGUGGGGUAAAAGCCUACCAAGCCUGUGAUCUGUAGCUGGUCUGAGAGGACGACCAGCCACACUGGGACUGAGACACGGCCCAGACUCCUACGGGAGGCAGCAGUGGGGAAUUCUGGACAAUGGGCGCAAGCCUGAUCCAGCAAUGCCGCGUGCGGGAAG